GUACCUGCGGAGGGAUCAUUACACAAAUAUGAAGGCGGGCUGGAACCUCUCGGGGUUACAGCCUUGCUGAAUUAUUCACCCUUGUCUUUUGCGUACUUCUUGUUUCCUUGGUGGGUUCGCCCACCACUAGGACAAACAUAAACCUUUUGUAAUUGCAAUCAGCGUCAGUAACAAAUUAAUAAUUACAACUUUCAACAACGGAUCUCUUGGUUCUGGCAUCGAUGAAGAACGCAGCGAAAUGCGAUAAGUAGUGUGAAUUGCAGAAUUCAGUGAAUCAUCGAAUCUUUGAACGCACAUUGCGCCCUUUGGUAUUCCAAAGGGCAUGCCUGUUCGAGCGUCAUUUGUACCCUCAAGCUUUGCUUGGUGUUGGGCGUCUUGUCUCUAGCUUUGCUGGAGACUCGCCUUAAAGUAAUUGGCAGCCGGCCUACUGGUUUCGGAGCGCAGCACAAGUCGCACUCUCUAUCAGCAAAGGUCUAGCAUCCAUUAAGCCUUUUUUUCAACUUUGACCUCGGAUCAGUAGAGCCCGGGUCCCC
rnacentral:rRNA from 1 species